CAGAAGUAAAAUGCUGUCACGCCGAUGGUAGUGUGGUGAUUCGCCAUGUGAGAGUAGGUCGUCAUCAGGG
rnacentral:rRNA from 1 species